CUCUCACACAAUCCAUCUCACCCCUUUGUGCACCACCGCGUGGGUCCCUCUCUGGUUCGUUCCCGAGGGGGGCUUGCGUUUUCACACAAACUUGAAGUAGUGUAGAAUGUGUCUUUUUGCGAUAACACGCAAUCAAUACAACUUUCAACAACGGAUCUCUUGGCUCUCGCAUCGAUGAAGAACGCAGCGAAAUGCGAUACGUAAUGUGAAUUGCAGAAUUCAGUGAAUCAUCGAAUCUUUGAACGCACCUUGCGCCCCUUGGCAUUCCGAGGGGCACACCCGUUUGAGUGUCGUGAAAUUCUCAAAACCCUUUCUUUGGUCUCUUGAUCGGGGGAAGGAUUUUGGACUUGGAGGCCUUUUGCUGGUUUCAACUUGAAGCGAGCUCCUCCCAAAUGAAUUAGUGGGGUCUGCUUUGCCGAUCCUUGGCGUGAUAAGUCGUUUCUACGUCUUGGAUUUUGGCACUGUACACCUGCUUCUAACCGUCUCAUCGACAAUGAUGGUGUUCCUGUCACCGCCGAUUCGUCGGUGGGAGGCUUGACCCACAAAAUGAACCUUUGACCUCAAAUCGGGUGAGACUACCCGCUGAACUUAAGCAUAUCAAUAAGCCGGAGGAA
rnacentral:rRNA from 1 species